GACUGCUUGGCGCAAUGGUAGCGCGCGGUCCUCCUAUUUCCUGUACUCUAUUGCAAGAAAUACUUGGAGUGAUAGACUGAGGUUGCGGGUUCGAGUCCCGUGGUGGUCG